ensembl:lncRNA
CGCUCCGUAUGGCAGAAAAAAACGCUGGGAGGGGCGUCUAAAAAAACGGCCGUGACUUUUUCCAGAAACGCUCUGCUCCAUAGGAAUAUAAUGUAAAACAUGAGCUGGCAGAUUUAAAAUCGCUAGAUGUGAACACGGCCAGUCAAACGUGGCGGAAUAAUAAUAAUAAUAAUAAUAAAAACACUAACGAUUCCAAUAGGUUGCCUUCGCACUUUGUGCUUGGCACCCUAAUAAUAAUAAUAAUGACGAUGAUGAUGUUGAUAAUAAUAAUUUAAUAUUUAUCUCACUUUGUGUGUCUGGGAGUUUUGUUGGCGAAUCAAAUACAUCAUCAGCGAUGCCCUCAAUGUAUGCGACGAUAGCCAGGAUCAUUGCGCUUCUGGACUGAACUAUUUCAUCAUGGCUCAAAAGAAGUUUAGGCCCUGCCCCUCCUGCCAAGAACCUAACCAGGUGAGCCGAAAAACCUGCAGCAGUUGUUUCGCAGCUCUCUCAAACAAGGGAAAACUAAAGGCCAAAACGGGGUCCCUGGAUAGGAAGUGGGCGGAAGGGGUCCUGAAAAAUCGAAACGCGGCAAGAGUGGUGAACUCUGCCCAUAUUGCAGUGAAAAAACUAAGUGCAUUGGGCUAUGUCCCAAUUUUAUUUUAUGCCAGAAGGGGAGAAAGCCUCUGGAAAGUGGGUGGCUGAUGUGAUGAACCAGCUGACACCCACUGAGGAUAACCUCAAAAUUUUAGCCAGUAUGAAAAAGGCAUACAAUUUUGUUUUGCUUAAAGAAGGUUGCCGGAAAUGUAGUAGGCAAAAAAUAUUUCAUUAUGACGCCGUCACAGAAAGGAGGAUGAAUGAGGGGCGAGCAGAAGUAAGGGUGAGAUGGUUACCUUGCUCUGCAUGCAGGACUCAGCACCUGCCACAGUGCCAAAACUGCUAGUAACUGGUUUGCUUACCAUGUGGAAAAACCUGGGAGGAGACAUGGGAGCUGGCCUGCCAGUUCCCAUCCUAAGAUGCCGGCCAGACUUUUUUCAUUUAUUAUAAUUGAUUUUUGUUUAAAAUAAAGGAAAGUAUACCUAUAUUUCUGUUUACGUCUUUCCAUUAGCCUUGUGGAUUAAAGAUGAAUUAAUUAUUGCCAA